rnacentral:lncRNA from 1 species
AGGGUUAUGAAUAACAAUAAAAGGAAAUAAAUGUAAAAAGAAAAUAAUCUUACACUAAAAGGAAGUAUAAUGGAAAAUAUUCUAUAAAAUAUUUCUAUCUUUAACACCCUCCCCUCAAACUCAAUAUGAUAUGGAAUAUUGAGUUUGAAGAACUCGAUCCAAUCAAAUCUUUCAAAUUGAUGUAGAAUGAACUCCAAGCACUUGAGGUCUUUGUUAUUGUUGAUGGAGAUAAGUGGCUUCUUGUUUGACUAGAAGAAAAUAUUUGUUGGACUCUUUUUUUUUUUUUGAAUGUUUUAUGUUUAUUAAAAACAUUUUAAGUCGCUAAAGUAAUAGAAAAAUAUGGGAAAAGUCGGUAAAGGUCAAGGUACCGACCUUCCAAAAAAAUAAAAAUAAGCCUCUGUUUUUUAUUUUAUUUUAUUUUUAUUUUUUCAAGAGGCAGGGGGAGAGCCGAUAAAGUUCUAGGUAUCGACCCUUCAAUUUUAUUUUUUUUAAUUAGAAAACCCUAGAAUUUUUCAAGGGAUGGGGGAAGAGCCUAUAAAGUUCACGAUAGCAACCCUUCAAAAAAAAAAAAAAAAAAUUCAACAUAAAAAUGCUCUAGUUUGUUUAAGAGGUAGGGGGAGUGACGGCAAAAUUCAAGGUACCGUCUCUCCAAUUUUUUUUGUUUUUAACAUGAGAAAACCCUGGAUUUUUUUUUUUUUUUUUUAAAGGGGCGGGGGGGAGAUUCCCAAGUAUGCAAAAUUAUGGUUAAAUUCCUGGAAAUUAAAUUCCCACACAUAGCUCUGCUCCCUUAAUCUUGAAUGAAAUUUUGGAAGUCUGGGGACACUUAAUUUUGUGGAAAUUUUGAUGAGAAAAUCGGACGGGAGCAAGACAAAAAACAAAAAAUAUUUGACCGGCCGCUAGCAAGGAAAAAAAAAAAAAGAAAAAUAUUUGAACGGACAAGUGACAUGAGACCGCUUGCCGGAAAAUGGAAGCUUGUAAGUUUAACCCAAAAUCAAGUUAAACCUACUCUGUUACCAUGUCAAGAAUAUUGUAAAUUUGUACUAUUAAUGGUCUUGUAAAUAGUACAAAGAAGAGAAACUUAUUUAUAGGAUUAUGAAUAACAAUAAAAAGAAAUAAAUGUAAAACAAAAAUAAUCUUACACUAAAAGGAAAUAUAAUGGACAAUAUUCUAUAAAAUAUUUCUAUCUUUAACAGAGUAUAAGCUUGCUGCUGGUUCUACUUUAACGUGAACUUGAUGAAUGAAAUUAUCACGUCAUAAUAUAUAAAAAUUUGAAUUCUAUUCUUGUUCAUAUUUUGAAUCACGUAGCUCUAAUAUAUGGAGAUAACUACACACAGAUGGUCAAAAAUUGCUCAGAAAUUACCUGGAAGAACUGAUAAUGAGAUCAAGAAUUACUGGAGAACCUAUAUGAGGAAAAGUGCUCAAGAGAGGCAGAAAUCAGCUGUAUCUCCAUCAUCAUCAUCGUCCUCAUCAAAAUCUUCUUCAUCAUGUACC